UUUGUGGGCUUUGCCUGCUAUCUCUUACCCAUGUCUUUUGAGUACUUACGUUUCCUCGGCGGGUCCGCCCGCCGAUUGGACAAAAUUAAACCCUUUGCAGUUGCAAUCAGCGUCUGAAAAACAUAAUAGUUACAACUUUCAACAACGGAUCUCUUGGUUCUGGCAUCGAUGAAGAACGCAGCGAAAUGCGAUAAGUAGUGUGAAUUGCAGAAUUCAGUGAAUCAUCGAAUCUUUGAACGCACAUUGCGCCCCUUGGUAUUCCAUGGGGCAUGCCUGUUCGAGCGUCAUUUGUACCUUCAAGCUCUGCUUGGUGUUGGGUGUUUGUCUCGCCUUUGCGUGUAGACUCGCCUCAAAACAAUUGGCAGCCGGCGUAUUGAUUUCGGAGCGCAGUACAUCUCGCGCUUUGCACUCAUAACGACGACGUCCAAAAAGUACAUUUUUACACUCUUGACCUCGGAUCAGGUAGGGAUACCCGCUGAACUUAAGCAUAUCAAUAA
rnacentral:misc_RNA from 1 species